UUGGGCUAGCAUUAUUACAAUAUUGGACAUCUUGCUUCUUUGCCACUUGGAUUUUUAGCGGACAAAAUUGUCAAACAAAAUUUUUUCAGUUCAAAAAAAUUCAAAAACUAAAAGUCAAAAAAGUUCAAAAACCAGAAGUCAUUCCAUCUUUUUUGUCUGCUACACAUUAUUAUUCCAUGUUACAAUGAAUAAAUAAACGCACUUUGAAUCUACUAUCUAUUGUUCCUUUUGAAAGUCCUUCUGCCUUUUCACUUCCCAACUCUCAUCAUUAAGGAAAAUUGUACCAUUCCAACAAGCC
rnacentral:lncRNA from 1 species